UACGUAGGGUGCAAGCGUUGUCCGGAAUUAUUGGGCGUAAAGAGCUCGUAGGCGGUCUGUCGCGUCGGCUGUGAAAACCCGGAGCUCAACUCCGGGCCUGCAGUCGAUACGGGCAAACUGGAGUGUUGCAGGGGAGACUGGAAUUCCUGGUGUAGCGGUGAAAUGCGCAGAUAUCAGGAAGAACACCGAUGGCGAAGGCAGUUCUCUGGGACGGUACUGACGCUGAGACGCGAAAGCGUGGGGAGCGAACAGG
rnacentral:rRNA from 1 species